AGGACGAACGCUGGCGGCGUGCUUAACACAUGCAAGUCGAGCGGAAAGGCCUUUCGGGGUACUCGAGCGGCGAACGGGUGAGUAACACGUGAGUAAUCUGCCCAUCGCUUCAGGAUAGCCAUCGGAAACGGUGAUUAAUACUGGAUAUGACAUUCCUUCGCAUGUUGGGGUGUGGAAAGUUUUUUCGGCGGUGGAUGUGCUCGCGGCCCAUCAGCUUGUUGGUGGGGUAAUGGCCUACCAAGGCUUUGACGGGUAGCCGGCCUGGAGAGGGUGACCGGCCACACUGGGACUGGAGACACGGCCCAGACUCCUACGGGAGGCAGCAGGUGGGAAUAUUGGACAAUGGGCGAAGCCUGAUCCAGCAACGCCGCGUGAGGAUGACGGCCUUCGGGUUCGUUAAACCGUCUUACAGCACAGACGUAAGUUUGUCGUUUUUGGUGUAAGUGGUACGGUAGUUGUGACG
rnacentral:rRNA from 1 species